CAUAGCGUAUUUACAUACUAGUUCCUUUCACUCAAGACCUUCAAAAAGUCUUUAGCCUGCCAUAAUUUCAUUUUCCGUUCUGUGAACCACUUAAGUAUUUUUUAAGUAUGUAGUCUAUGUAUGUUCUUCUUUGCUUAGUCAAAAUUUAUCAUCAUUUCGUAUUAGUUACGGAAAGUCGCUACUUCUUUGAUUUAUCGUGUGUAAUACAUAUCUAUUCAUACAUAUUUUUAGGUUUUAUUGUCGGCAACGCUGGUCUUUAUGUGACGCUUCUUCAAUUCCUUAUCGCCUAUUUGAUACUCCUGUUUACCGUUGCGUCUGUAUGCGCAAUCUCUACCAAUGGUGCCGUGGAAGGUGGUGGCGUUUAUUUCAUGAUAAGCCGUACGCUAGGCCUAGAAUUUGGCGGUUCGAUUGGUACACUUUUCUUUCUGGCUAAUGUCGUCGGUUGUGCUAUGGCUAUAUCUGGUUGUACUGAGGGUGUAAUGGAGAACUUUGGCCCUGGUGGUUACUUCACAGAAGGUGGUGACUCACUACCCGAUGGCACUUGGUGGCGCUUCCUCUUUUCAACGCUAAUAAAUACAGCCAUGUUAGUGGUGUGUUUGAUUGGUGCCGCACUCUUUGCUAAGACAUCGGUAUUAAUUUUGGGUAUUGUCACAGUAUGCUUGAUGGCCACGUAUAUAAGCUUCUUGGCCGAAGGUCCGAAAGAGAUUGACGUUCCGAAGGAAAACACCAUCUUCGACGAAACCAAACUCAAUUACACCGGUUUAAAUGCACACACCUUAAUGGAUAAUCUUUAUCCGCACUAUGCUAAAGAUUACACUUCGAAUGGUAAAAUAGUUGAUUUCGCCACGACAUUCGGUGUUUUAUUUGCUGGCGUGACUGGCAUUAUGGCUGGUGCAAAUAUGUCGGGCGAACUGAAAAGCCCUUCAAGAAGUAUUCCAACCGGCACAUUAUCGGCUGUGAGCUUCACAUUCGUCUCCUAUAUUUUACUUUCAUUUCUGAUGGCUUUAACCACACCAGCAGUCAUAAUGCAAAAUAACUAUCUCUUCCUUAUGCCGGUUAAUUUUUGGCCACCAUUCACAGCGAUUGGCAUACUAACCGCCACUUUUUCAACUGGACUCAGCAAUCUUAUUGGCUCUAGUCGUAUUUUGGAAGCUCUAUCAAAGGAUCAAGUGUUUGGCUCUCUUUUGAAAUUCGUAUUACGCGGCACAUGGAAGGGCAAUCCCGUUGCGGCGGUGUUCACUAGUUGGAUACUCGUCGAAUGUAUACUCUUAAUUGGUUCUUUGAAUGCAAUUGCGCAGGUUAAUUCAGUAUUGUUUAUGCUUUCUUAUUUGGCUACAAAUUUGGCUUGUCUGGGCAUCGAAUUGACUGGUGCGCCGAAUUUCCGUCCACUCUUUAAGUAUUUUACUUGGCACACCUGCCUAAUCGGUUUGCUAGGUACACUCAUCAUGAUGUUUGUGAUAAAUCCGAUUUAUGCAUCAUCCAGUAUCAUAUUAUGUUUAAUUUUGGUCAUCGCGUUGCAUCUGUUCUCACCAGCUUCGCAGGGCACCCAAUGGGGUUCGAUCUCACAAGCGUUGAUGUUCCAUCAGGUACGUAAGUACUUGUUGAUGUUGGAUUCCCGCAAGGAUCAUGUAAAAUUCUGGCGUCCACAAAUGCUAUUGUUAGUAUCAUCGCCGCGUUCCUGCUGUCCACUUGUAGAUUUUGUCAAUGAUAUGAAAAAAGGUGGGCUGUAUGUGAUUGGCCACGUGAAGGUGGGUGACUACACGGCCUUCGUAGACCCCACCAUUGAGGAAAACAAAUAUUGGCUAUCAUUCUUGGAUCAUAUGCGAGUGAAGGCGUUUGCUGAAGUGACUCUGGCCCAGUCUAUACGCGAAGGUGUGCAACAUUUGAUACGUCUAUCCGGUAUUGGUGCAAUGAAACCGAACACUAUAAUUUUGGGAUUCUACGAUAGUGAAGCACCAAAGGAUUUCUUUGAGAACGGCACUUCACCUUAUAAAACCGAUGGCUUUAAUCACGGCGAAAUUCAACACUUUCCCAUACGUCGUGAUGGCGAAGAAAAACAAAUUGAUGUCACUGAAUAUGUGGCUAUGAUGUGCGAUGUGCUCCGCAUGAAGAAAAAUUUGUGUCUGUGUCGACACUUUCAUCGCCUGGAUAAGAAUUUCAUUGCAAAAAGCAAACAUUUGAGGUAUAUAGAUGUUUGGCCAAUCAACGUUUUCAAUCCCAAUCCAAAUAAUCCUUUCGAUGUAGUCUCUCUGUUUAUGAUGCAAUUGGCAGUAAUAAUCAACAUGCUUGCUAAAUGGAAGCACUUGCGUUUACGCGUUUUUCUGUGCGAAUCAAACAAUACAAAUACUGAAUUAAGUUCUUUCGAUACACAAAUGCCACAGCUGGAUAUUUUCGCUAGAAUGAGACUGGAGCAAUCUUUGAAGAAUUUACGUAUUGAAGCGGAUAUCAUAGAGAUUCAAGAAUGGAACCGUGAUUCUGAAUUCACAAGCCAUUCUCGCGUACUCAAACAAUUUACAAGCCAAGCUGAGGUUGUCAAUGAAUUAAUUACGGAGGAAAAUCUCAAUCGCCCGCUGCUUUAUAUGCAAAGAGUCAACCAAAUAAUACGUGAACGCUCCGACCAGACGGCUGUUUCUUUUAUAUAUUUGGCUGCACCACCGCUAAUCGACACACCGGAUUUCACAGAGCGCAGUGCACGUUACAUAGAGCUACUAACCGAGUUGACUGCUGAUUUGCCACCCACUAUUCUGGUACAUGGCAUAAGCACAGUUACUUCGACAACGCUGUAAAUUCCAGAGAUUCCAUUAAACUGUAAACUGUUUUAUAUCGAUCCUUAAUGUAUGGUUCAACUGAUAGCGAAUCCUAAAGCACUCUAUUCAAAAUA
rnacentral:misc_RNA from 1 species